rnacentral:lncRNA from 1 species
CAUUUCACUGCCUUUCUUUUUAUUUUAUGAGUUUGCUCCUAGACAAAGACUUGUCUAUCUUUCUGCACGUCAGUGAGAUCUUACUACAAGGAGGUACCCCACCAGUGACAAAGUGUUGAAGCCCAUGACUUAAGAUACGCAGCUUUUGUUCUCUCCAGACAUCUUUGUUACAGACCUAGAUGUCUAUAGGGACCAGGUAGGAAAUAAGAAAUAAAGAGUGGGCUGGUCAUUUUCUCUUCAUGUUUCCAGGAUAUGACUAUCUUUUUAAUAAUAUUUUUCAUUUAUUCUUUGAAAUUUCAUACAUGUAUAUGGUGUAUCUUGAUUAUUUCCAAGCCAGACCUUCCUUUCCUCUCCCUCAGACCCUGAAACUCAGGACUUCCUUGUGUUAAAUUUCCCUAUGUGUGAUAAAUGUCGGCACAAGUGGUUCUCCAUCAUCUUCCUACACUGUCACAUAAGAAAUGUGAAUAUGUCAUAUGAUGCCUGAUGAGUUGUGUAGACUUGAGGACCAAUGUUGCUUUUGUAUACUGCUGUGCGUAUGAACGUGGCUCUUUCUACGUUUUGGUUUUAGUCUUCAGGUUCAUGUCCUGAUUUGACACUGGAAAGAUACCCAGUUCUCCAGUUUUGUUUGUCGUAAUUUCUAGUCUUAUUGUCUGUCUUAGUUACGAGUCUUAGCUGAGGGCUUGGAAGGGGGUUAUUUUGGCUCAGGGUUCCCAGAGGUUUGUGGCCAGGAAGAAGUGGCAGCAUGCACAGCAGGUGGCUGGUCAUGAUGUGUCUAGUCAGAAAGCAGCAAGAGAUGGGUUCUAGUCCCCAACUCACUCUCUCCUUUGUAUUUAUAAGAGCGUUCAGUAGCAUCCAGGCUGUGUUACCAGCAAACACAACACCUCAGCAAGCUGUUGGUCAACUUUCCUAGGAUUUGCCUAGGUAGAAUGAAUUCUCAGCUAAUGUUAAGCUAAGUCUAGGAUUAAACUUUGUGGCUCCUGAACUUUUAGGAGGUAACAUAUUGCCUCUAGUAUCAAACUUGAUUAAACUUGUUAACUUUAAUGCCAUUUGAUUCUGUUGGGGUAGAAGAAUUUAUUGACUACUCUAGAGAAAGGAUCUUUUUUCCCCCAGCUGUCUAAAGAGUAGAACGUUUAUUAAAGUUUUCUUGGUGAGCUGAAAAGGAGAGACAUGCUUCUUUUCCUAGGCAGAAACAGGUCUGGGGCAUAAUUAACAUGUGGUAAAAAUUGGAUAAUUGAAUAAUAUUGACUUCUUGGGGAUUCAGCCUUUUAUCUACUGCUGUGUGAUUAGUUUUUUCCAACCUGCAGCUUGCUUGAGCAGGGAGUCUACAGAGGAUUAGGAAGGAAAAACUUGUUAGCAAAGUACUGAAGGCUUUUGAUUUAAUUUUGUACUGCCCAUGGUUAUCUGGUUUCCCUAAGCAACCUCCAGUUUUCAGCCACUUUAUAAUCAUGAUGUGAUAAGAUAAACUGAUGCCUUCAUGAGGAAGUAACUCAAAAGAAGAGACAGAAAGGUCACUAAAAAGUAGAGAGGAGCCAGGUGUUGUGGUGCACACAUCUAGUCCCAACACUUUGGAGGCAGUGCAGGUAGAUCUCUUGAGUUCAAGGCCAGCAUAGUCUGCAUGGUGAGUUCCAGGCCAGCUAGGGUUACACAAUGAGAACCUGUCUCAAAACAAC